GCAGCCACCCCGAGCCUCCAGACCCAUGCCAUACCAAGGAAGGCUCCGCACAGCAAACUUGGCAAGAUGACCCAGUUCCUGCCACCCAACCUUCUGGCCCUUUUUGCCCCCCAUGACCCUAUCCCAUACCUGCCACCCCUGGAGAAACUGCCACAUGAAAAACACCACAAUCAACCUUACUGUGGCAUUGCGCCCUACAUUCCAGAGUUUGAGGCCCCUCGAGAUGCCCCUCCUCCAACUCGUGCAGAAACCCAGAGGAAGGCAUGGAGAGGAAAAGACGGGAGAAGAUUGAGCAGCAACAGCAGGAAGUGGAGACAGAGCUCACAUGAUCCCAAUGCUCAGGGGGAUACCUUCAAGACUCUCUUCAUGGCGAGAAUGAACUGUGACACAACAGAAUCCAAGCUCUGGAGAGAGUUUGAGGUGUAGGUACCCAUCAAAAGAAUCCACAUGGUCUACAGUAAGCGGUCGGGAAAGCCCCGUGGCUAUGCCUUCAUUGAGUAUGAACACGAGUGGGACAUGCACUCUGCUUACAAACACACAGACGGCAAGAAGAUUGAUGGCAGGAGGGUCCUUGUGGAUGUGGAGAGGGGCCGAACCGUGAAGGGCUGGAGGCCCCGGCGACUAGGAGGAGGCCUCGGUGGUACCAGGAGAGGAGGGGCUGAUGUGAACAUCUGUCAUUCAGGCCUCGAUGACACCUCCCACUAGGAUGAGAGGGACCAGGACCGGGACUGCGAGCGGGAGCGCAGAGAGCCGGGAGUGAGACAAGGAGCGAAAACAGCGACGCUCCCACUCUGGGGACCAGAGGAGGCGCUCACAGACUCAAGACAAGGAGGAGCAUAGGCGCUCCAUGGAGCGGAGCAAGGACAAGGACAGGGACUGGAAACAGCGAAGCAGUCAGAGCCGGGAGUGGGCUGGGCGGGAGCAGGAGCUCAAGGAGCAGCUGCGUGGAGGCGGCGGCGACACGGCGGAGCCCUCUGAGGCGAGUCAUGCGCCACCUGAUGACGGGCCUCCAGGGGAGCUCCGGCCUGAUGGACCUGAUGGUCCAGAGGAAAAGGGCCGGGAUCAUGACCGGGAGAGAGAGCGGAGCCAUCGGAGUGAGUGUGAGCGGCACCGGGACGGGGAUUGUGACCGUGACCGCGAGCACAAGCGGGGGGAGUGGGGCAGUGAGCGGGGCAGGGAUGAGGCCCAAGGUGAGGGUGGCGGCGGCCAGGACAAUGGGCUGGAGGGUCUGGGCAACCACAGCUGAGAAAUUUACAUGGAGUCUGAGGGCAGCGACAGCUACCUGGCUCCAGAGAAUGGGUAUUUGAUGGAGGCUGCUGCCGGAGUGAAGCGGGCCUCUCCACCUGCUGUGACUGGACGCAUUCCUGUGCCACUCCCUUGCUGUCAUCCCCUCCCCCAACCUUGGCCACCUCAGUUUGUCCUCCAAGGGUAGGUGUCUCAUUGGUCCUGGCCCCUUGGAUUUAAAAAUAAAAUUAAUUUCCUGUUGCU